rnacentral:lncRNA from 1 species
UAAAAUCAAUGAAAAGUACUUUAAAAAAUUGUAAAUUUCAUAUGUUGUGGUUACACUGAUCUUUUCUUUGAACAUUUCUGCUGUGAAAUUCUUUUUUUUAAUACAAUGAUUUAAUACCUGCAUUUGGAGACUUAAACUUCUUACAGAUGCUAAUUAAUUAAUUAGGCAAAUAGGUUUGAGGGUAGUUAUGAAGUAGUAAUUUCAGUUUGUGCUCUUCCAGUAACUCAGCAUGACUUUCACUCUCAUUUCUAGCAGAUAUUACAGUGAGAGAUGAGCAUUUCAGUUUGCAGCUGACAGUUUAGGGUUAAGAUAUGAUUCCAGGUAACAGAAGCCAAUGAGAGUACACCCAGUUGAUGUUUGUGACAUCAUCUUCCAGUCGGAGUACAUAGAACAGCUGAGGUAGCGUUCAGUUUCAGCCCCAGUGCCAUUAUGAUGGAUGUUUACAUCUCUUCAUUGAGAGCCAAUUAUCUCGCUUUUGUGUGAGGCCCAAGGAUCACUCAUGCUGCCUGGCUGCACAGAGCACUGUUGGAUCUAGCUGAACGAAUUGUUUUCUGUCUCUGAGAUAUGAAUAUGGGGAAGAAGCUGAACCAACUGAAGCAGUAGUCUUGGUCUGCUCAACAAGCCUGAUGAAAGAAAAGGUUUUAAUAGCAUAGCACAGGAAAAUUGUUCUGGAAUUUACCAGCAACCAUCAAGACCAAGGUGAUACAACUGUGAAACCUAGCAUCGCUGGGGGAGAUUAGCUGUUCCACUCCUUGAAACCCAGCAAGGCUGUCACCUAUCAAAGGCUGCACCUUGGGAUUCCUUGCAAUAAAUAUCUGAAGAAGAAUCUAAUGCACCAUUAACGUCAAAGUGUCUCCCAGACUACAGUAUUGGCUUUUCCUUAAACACUUUAAGCACCAACCACUUGGCUUCUUUCCAGAUUCUUAGUUUCUUAUUGAGUCAGUGCUGAACCUGUAUCAUCGAAAUGUAGCACUUUGAAAACAGGCUUGUUAUAAGCGGCUUAUAGAAGAAAUUUUUUCCACAAAAUGUCAUUUCCUUUUCUAAAACAUGUUUAAUUCAUGUUGACCAGUACAGGCCUCAGCCAUGCAAAAUUUCUAAUAUUAUACCCCAUAUGAUACAUCAAAGCAAAUAAAUGUAGAUAUAAAAAUCUAAAAUAGAGUAAUUUAGAAUCUUCAGUCUUCACCUAUAUUAUUGAGUCCCUAUCCACUGCAGCAAAUGACAACUCUUUAGUUUACAGUUUAUUAAAACUUCACCUAAGAUUUAACAUUUAAUAUUACAGAUAUUGCUCUGAACUGAUUGCUGUACAGGAUUAGAAAAUGUUUCACUUUCAGUGAUGUAACAUCAAAUGCCAUUCAACAAGGACCAGUCAUAGCCUUUAUGUAUGAGCAAAUGAUGACAUUUCAAGAGAAAUCCUACCCUUCUCAUCUGUGAAGUUCGUUUUCAUCUUUUACCUAGCUAUUGAUUAUUUCAUUCGCUUUCCUCCUAAACACCCAUAGGUGUGUGCACAAAAGUGCACUGAUUCAACACCAGAAACCUGGGGACCACUCUAUUUGGCAUUCCUUAUCACUGCAGUAAAAAAUCAAAAAGAAAACUAUAUGUUAAGUAUUUAUGUUAAACUUUAUCCAUGUUUUAUUUAGUUCAUGACAGCCUACACCUUUAGCUGUAAUUUUCCUCACAUUGAUAUGAAAACAAAGAAAAAAAGCUACCCCCUUCAAGUUCCUCAAGAAUAGAAAAAAUAAAUAAUCCAACAAUAGAUAGUAAAUAACAGAGUCAGGACUGAAACCAAGACAUGCUGCCCUGAGAUCCUAUGAAUUUAAGUUUUCUGUUACGCAUGCUGCUUUUCUUUCCAAAGCUGAUCCCAUUUGAAGUGAUACAACUUCUGUUUGUGCAGCAAUAUUUGAAUCUUUUUUGUGAAUUAUGUCAAUCACCAGUGAAAGAAUAAGAUAAAAUACUGCUUUGUAAAAUAAAAGAAUAGCAAAUUGCUUUACCUCUUUAAGCUUCAAUUUUCUGAUUUCUAAUAUUUUUGUUAGAGAAUUGUAUUUGGUAUUAAAUAAUAUAAAUCACAUUUUAGAUAUUUUAACUGUAAAUUCCUGUGCAAAUACAAAUAAUACUAUUAUUAUGCUCCCCAAGUAAAAAAUUAAAAUACAAAUGUAUAUAUGAGUUACACCAAAUCUCAUAGAAUAUCAAAUGAAAGAGACAUAAAUACCCUUUAAAUCACUUACCACAUGUUCAGUGGAUAGCAAAUUCAAAGCUUCUGAUUUUUUUCAGUUACUUUUAGUAAUACAAAGGCAUUAUUUAUUAGCAUUUAUAUUACAAUUAUUACGUAUUUGAUUUAUGCAAUUAUGUUCUUCUUUGGUUAAUUAAACACUGUGCAUGGUAACUCAAUACCCUUCUAAAUGUUACAUAGGUGUUAAAUUGGCAUCUGUUUAAGAAGACAGAACAAAACCCAUUGUUAGGUGCGCAGACAUUAAACCAGGAAUUCACAAAAAAAAACAGAAUAAGUUUAACAGACCUUACCUAAGGAUAAAUUAUCUCUUUUGGCUUAAAACUUGCUUUUGCCCAGAAACAUUUCUCUUUUUAAAUGUGUGGAAAAUAGCAUCUCUGGCACUUCUUAAACAAAUAUUUUGCUAAAGGAUAUGCUUUAGAAAGCUUCUAUUAGUUGGCAAAAGUAGUUUAUUAUCUUCAAAGUUUUCUAAUACAUUAUAUCUGAUUAUCAAAAACUUUGAAGAUAUUAAAACUUUAGGCAUAAAUUUUUAGGUAAAUUUCCUUUUUAGUUUGACCAAGCUUUUGUACCACCUUGUCUAUAGGAGACAUCUGUCAGGGAUCCCCAUAGUGGUGACCCUGAUAAAAAUGCAGUGAGGGAGGGGGUGUCCUGUUCAUAACACAAUGGAAAUCACCUUUCCUAUUUGCCACAUAAAUUAGGGAGAAAAUGAAAUGUUGGAAGUAGAUAUUUAUCUUUUAAGGGUCAAAUCUCUGGAGAUACCUUGUUAUACAUCUGAGGGAAGAAAUUAUUCAAAAUUUUUUGUUUUAUUUUGUAAAUGGAAGAAGUGAAUUCCUUUGUGUUGUUUAGAACAUUUCCUUUUGGAGUACUCCUAUGUAAAUAAAUGAAAGCACACAUUAUUGUUGUUUUCCUUUUUUUUGAGGAGAGUAGCAGUACCUUGGCAUCAUCAGCUUUUGUGUUGUGAUUUUCUACUUCAUAAUGAGAUCAGCUUAUUCGGGGCUCAUUUUUUCCCCCAAAGAUGACUAGUUGAACUGAAAUUCAUUUAUACAAACAUUAUAAUUUAAGUGCCAAUAAUGGCUCUGAGUUAAAGAAUGAAUGAAAUCAGAAAGGUCAAAAUCUAUUUGACUUCCUUUAAAUAUUUGAUAGCUUGUUUACUUAAAUUUAUUUUAUUUGAAAUGCCAAGACAUUUGCCCUUUUCGUGUAGAUUGUAGAACUCUUCAUUAGUUUUUUUCUGGCAUCUGUUCAUUUCAAAACAUUAAACAUUGCCCAGUACAUCUAUGUGUUUCUAAGGGUUAAUUGAGAGGUAGUGUCUAACUUCAGAGCACACAGUGUGAUACAUGGAAACAGCCACUUAGAACAACUAAUAACCAAAAGUGCUUUUCCAUCCAUUCAAUACAUGUUUAAGUAUGCAUCAUGUACCAGUCAAGCUUCUAGAAUGGAGGGAUACUUUAGAAAAUAAAAUCUACCAAGUCCCUAACUUUACAAGCAGCUUUCAUCUUAAUGUUGAGCAAUUCAAAUGUUUCUGAUUCUGAUUGGUUAGAUUAAUAUCAUCUCUUCCCAUGGAAAUUUGCAAGGUCAUUGAUGAAGGAAAAUGGUGGUGACGUUUGAUAGACAUUAUCUCCUCCUUGCAAAAAGAUGAUUAUUUUGUGUUGGUACUAUUGAAAGAUCACCUAUAUAAAUAACAGUUUGCUUUUAAAUAUUGUGUAUUGCAACAAGUUAUAUAUAACCUUAUAUUUUGCUUAUAAGGCAAAAUAUUGUUUUGUAAGAUACAAACACAAUUCUCAUCUAUUGCUGUAACCAGGAAACUUCUCAUGACUUCCUAACAGCAGCAUAUGUAUUGUUUUUUAAAAAAUCUCUUUUAUGAUGUCCACUUUGUCUUUCACUUUAUAUAAUUAUGUGCUUCAUUGUAUCAUUACUAGAUUGAAAGUUACUUAUAGGAAAGAAAUCAUGUUAACAGUAAUCAUUUCAUUAUGUUUGGGACCUAACACAAGACAUGGCUUAUACUGCCUAAAUAUUUCCUGUAUUAACUUGAAUAACUUACUGUAAAUUAGGAAAUUAAACAAAGACCACAGAUAAAUAAAUAAUAUUCUGUGUGUGUCCAAUGCUCAGUUUGAAUUUCAGCAUAAAUUGGAAAGGCAUGUUUUCAUCCAUAUACAUAUCUUAAUAUUUCUCAUAUCAUCACUAUAUAUUAGAGAACUAUAGUUUUCUGGUUGCUAUCACUGAACUAUAUUCCUCAAGAGCAAAGAGAGAAGAGUAGGUUUAAAAUGUUAUUUAUUAUAUUAAUAUAAAUAGUAAACUUUAUGCAACACUCAUGAAAUUCAUAUGUAAAGAAAUAUGCAUUUCUGGAGUCAUUUACAUUGUUCCAAGGCUAUAUUUUCAGGGAUCAUUUCUAUAGUUCAUUACAUUGUUGCAUUUUUGUGAACACAGGUCUCUAUUAUAUCAUUAUUGGAGGAGAAAAUAACUAUAACACAAUUAGUAUUUACAUUUGUAAUAUUAUCUCUCUUACUUUCCAACUUCUAUGAUCAUUAAUAUGUGGGUUGCUCAUUAAUUUAUAGAUAAUAGCAGUUAUAGUAUAUGAAGAAAAAUUAGGAAAAGCAUCAAGCUAAUUAUUUUCUCUUUUAAAAUCUGCAUACAUUUCUUGAUCCUUCCAGACAGAACAAGCCAGAAGUUCACAUUUUCUUAACAAUGGCUUUGAUAACGCCUAAUAACUUUCACUGGCUAGCAGAGUCUACUUCCCCUGAGGAGUUAGGCAACUGAUAGGCUUGUUUUGUUAGUUUGACUUUGCUGAUCUUAACAAGAAAUAAUUCUCAUCACUGUGGUGAAUAUAUAAGUAUUGUAAUAACAUAUAUCUAACUGUCACUUGCUGACUAAAUUUUUUUUGUUCUUCAUAUAAAUUGGUAUCUUACAUACAUAAAGAGAAAAGAAUAGGGCUUGUUGGCAUAAGGAAUUUGUUUCAGAAAUGUAAGUUCUUAUUCCUUCUGUUACGUGGAGAAAAUGUGGAAAAUAAUACAACAUUCACUAUAUGAAACACAGGCAAGUCUUGUAAGUGGGAAAUUGCUUUCGUUUCUCAUUCUUCAAACAAACUUUAAAUGUUUCCCUUGAAUAGGUGACAGCUCUAGAAGCUGUGUCCUCAAAGGCUUUUUCUUAGUUCAAGCUAAAUACAUCUAUUCCAUUGGUGUAAAUAUUUCUACAAAAUAAUUCAUUGUGUGCACCUUCGAUUUGAUUAUAAAGUAGAUUUAGAAGACAUUUAAAAAUUAACUGUAGUUAGGUAAUGCACUCUACACUAUCAGCAAAGUACUUAGAUAAAAUUGUACAUGGCUGACUUUUUAUCUUAUCAUUGUUUCUAUUCACAUGAUUUUCCCUGAGGAAUAUUUAAUUGAUUCCCUUUGGUUUAAUCUUCCUUUUCUAUUAGAUUUCUUUUUCCUUGUCUACAAGAAAGUCAAUAAAUACAAGGGAUGGAUGUGGACAUGUAGUUUCCAAAGAAAACUGGAGCCAGGUCACUCAGAGGAGGAACCAUGUCUUAUUCAUUGUUUUUACCCGAAUAUCUAAUACAGAGUUUGAUGCCUAGUGUAGUUCAAUAAAUACUUUUUGAAGUGAACAAGUUGUACAUUAAGGUCAUGAGUGAGAUUCACCGAAACAACACAUUAUUGUACUUGAAGAGAGAGACAUGUAAGGGAUAUUAAACAGUCAAGAUUCAAAAACUUAUCACACAAAGUUCUGGUUUAAUAUUGAGGGGAAAAGAUUCUAGUUCAUAUUUCUGGCUGUAUCACUGCCUGAUUUAAUAUCAUUAGGUUAUAGUUAUACCCAAAUUUUAUUAUAUUACUCCUUUCCUCCAUCAAACACACAUUAUUCUAUUUCCAUGUCAGGAGAGAGAAGCUCUGGUGUAAGACACACCUGUUUUUGCUGUGAAUCCUUCCAAAUACAUAUGUGGAAUUACAAACAUGAUGAACAUGACAUUCAAAUACAGACUCACAAAGGACAAGUUAUGUUAGAUGAAGAAUCCAGGAUAAUAUAUGGUAACUAUAACUCUAUUUAGCAAAGUAAUAAGUUUGAAGAUCUUUCCUACGUAAGUAUUAAAAUAUUAAAAUCUGAAUCACAAUUCUAGAACUGCCAUGGUAGAUCCAUCAAGAAUGCACCCAUGUGAGCCAGGCACAGUGGCACAUUCUUGGAAUCCCAUCUACCUAGGAGGCCAAGCAGAGGAUCACAAGUUCAGGGCCCACCCUGCAACUUAGUGAGAGUCUGUCUCCAGCCUUAAAAAUAAAAUAAUAAAAUAAAAAAAGAAAGAAAGAAAGAAAAAUAAAAAAAGAAAAGAAAUGUUGGAAACAUAGCCUUAGAUUUGAUCUCCAGUACAAAGAAGCAAUCACUUAUGUGAGAGGCUAAGGAAUUUAAAAUGCCAGCUCCUUUACAUUGAGAACCUUGUUUCGGUGUCCUAGUGGAUGAGUGCCAUCACAAAACAGAAGUACUGAGGAUCUCCUGUAUGAACCACUGUAAACACUUUAACAUCAGGGAGAGUAUAGUAGUGGCCAUGCUGAUGACCACCCCAUGACAUUUCCACUUAGGGUCACUCUGUGCUCAUUGUUGUAUGAAAUAUGUCUGAACUGGGAGAGGAAAUUGUCCCCAAAGGAGGUGUAUUCCAAGGUCAUCCCAGCAGCAUCUUUGCUGCAUUAGCACCUGAGGCAGAUUCAGCACCAAUGGGAAUGGAAAGAGCUUUUGGCACAGGCAGUCUCAAAACUGUGAUCUAAUACUGGAGAGAAAGAAAAUGACAAAAACCACACGGCCAUAAAGAAGCAUGUCCAAAUGUCUAGAUAAGAAUAUUCAGGCACAGAGAAAAAAUGCCUUUGCAAUUCAUGAAGAUGUACAAAAUACUUCUAGUUUAAAAAAAGAGCCGAGAUUGGGAAGAAUUCAAGACUAGAGUCUUAGAAUGAGAAGAUGAGGAAGAAAGCUCUUUUGACAAAUUACUCCCAUGUUAACAC